UACAGAGGGUGCGAGCGUUAAUCGGAAUUACUGGGCGUAAAGCGCGCGUAGGCGGCUUUGCAAGUCGGGUGUGAAAUCCCCAGGCUUAACCUGGGAACUGCAUUCGAGACUGCAUUGCUAGAGUAUGGGAGAGGGAAGUGGAAUUCCGGUGUAGCGGUGAAAUGCGUAGAUAUCGGAAGGAACAUCAGUGGCGAAAGCGACUUCCUGGACCAAUACUGACGCUCAUGUGCGAAAGCGUGGGGAGCAAACAGG
rnacentral:rRNA from 1 species